rnacentral:rRNA from 1 species
GAUGGACGCUGGCGGCGUGCUUAACACAUGCAAGUCGAACGGAAAGGCCACAGCUUGCUGUGGUACUCGAGUGGCGAACGGGUGAGUAACACGUGGGUGAUCUGCCCUGUACUUCGGGAUAAGCUUGGGAAACUGGGUCUAAUACCGGAUAGGAAUCACAUGUGGGUGUGUGGUUGGAAAGCUUUUGCGGUAUGGGAUGAGCUCGCGGCCUAUCAGCUUGUUGGUGGGGUAAUGGCCUACCAAGGCGUCGACGGGUAGCCGGCCUGAGAGGGUGUACGGCCACAUUGGGACUGAGAUACGGCCCAGACUCCUACGGGAGGCAGCAGUGGGGAAUAUUGCACAAUGGGCGCAAGCCUGAUGCAGCGACGCCGCGUGGGGGAUGACGGCCUUCGGGUUGUAAACUCCUUUCGUCAGGGACGAAGCGAAAGUGACGGUACCUGGAUAAGAAGCACCGGCUAACUACGUG